rnacentral:lncRNA from 1 species
CGGUAGUGUAUAUAUACAUAAAAGGUGCGAGGGGAUACUGGCUGUAGUUCCGCAGAUCUCGCCACAUGGGUGCGCUGUUGUACUUUCUGCCGCGCCACAGUACAUUCUCUCUCUGCUCUGCUCUUGUUUAGUGUGUGCCACACGCCCUCACAGUUUCUGUCACACACUCAGACAACGUGAGUUCAGAAUCCGGUUGUCUUAAGUUAAACGCACUAAGAAACACCUGAACGAACAGAGACGAGCUGCUGUCCGGUAUCUGACUCGGGUCUCACUCUGAGCACAUCAUUGGUUCCGGUGACAUCCGUUACCAUACCGCACUGAUGACAUCUUAUUUAAUCACGCAGCAGACGACAAGACAAGAAACCUGUGCUAUCAGCCAAAGACACUACAUAAAAAAUAUGCAGCUCAGAAAGAGCAAGAAAGAAGGGGUACACUGCAGUGUUCACUCUUCUGUUUCACUGGGGACAUCAGGAACAGGUAAAAUUGUGAGUAUGAACCUAAUGUCUUCAUUUUCAAAAGACGAUUUGAGACUUACAAAAUGAAAUAUGCUCAGAGGUUGUAACAGAGGCUGUUUACCACAAAAAUGCUUCCCUGGUAAUGAAUUCUCGCAGCCCCGUGCUGUUCAGAGCAGUCUCUCUUUACUAACUGCUGUUAAUUUGGCAUUGUCUAAUAAACUGUAGCUCAUUGCAACUGUGAACAUGAAUAUUAUAUGUGUGAGAUUGAAUGUUUUGAUUGACAUCUCUGAUGCUAUUUACAGUAGGCUAUGUCAUUGGUA